UACGUAGGGGGCGAGCGUUGUCCGGAUUUAUUGGGCGUAAAGAGCGUGUAGGCGGCCAGGUAGGUCUGCUGUGAAAACUCGAGGCUCAACCUCGAGACGUCGGCGGAAACCCUCUGGCUAGAGUCCGGAAGAGGAGAGUGGAAUUCCUGGUGUAGCGGUGAAAUGCGCAGAUAUCAGGAAGAACACCCGUGGCGAAGGCGGCUCUCUGGGACGGUACUGACGCUGAGACGCGAAAGCGUGGGGAGCAAACAGG
rnacentral:rRNA from 1 species